GUCCAGCCUGCAAGCGUUGCCAUGGCAGCGCCGCGGGCGGGGAUGCUGGAGGAUGAGCGCACAGCCCAGCUCGCCCCUUUGUGCCUCGGAGGCACCGGUGCACUCCCCCCAUUCCUGGCUUAACCUCGCCUAGAGGGUCCUGACUCUGGGGCGAGAGUAAGGGGGCAGAGUGUGGGGUUGCGGGGGUUCAGGGAGGCUGGAGGAGGGCAGAGGCAAGGGCUGGGGGUGGGGCUCCUCCGUCCGCCCGCCAGCCGCUCCCGCAUUAAAAUUUCAUGGGCGCUGCAGCAGCUACAAAGACGACGCCGGCUGCACUCGGGGGACCAGAGGGAGGGAGGCUGCGGACGAGUGCGGGGAGGAGUUUGCGAGGGGAGGCGCUUGCAAGGGCUCCCCCACUUCUGCGCUGUGAGCAGGGGCACAAAGAGCCCUCUGCACUCCAACCUUCGCACCGUGAACCCGAGGUAAGCCACCGCCUGUCCUAACACCCGGCUCUGCAAGCACCCUCGGCCCCGCGCGGGAGCAGCCUGUUUCUCCGAGGUUGGCUACCGACGCAGCAGGCAUCUGAAGUCCUUGGAGUCCGAAAGAGGAACCAGAGGGCUUUUCCGUCAGCUUCGGAAGAGUCAUUCUUUAUGCCUGCAUUAAAAACUGGAGGAUGUCCCGGUACCUCCAGGUACUUCCAGGCAAGGUCAUGUGGCUGAAGUGGCAUCUGAGCGGUACCCAAGGUGAUGCUCCAUCUCUUCUGCACAUGCCAGGGGUGUAGAGACCAGCUUCAUGCUAUGCAAUCAAGUCCACUGCGAAAUCCAACAUGCUGAGCCCUCUUGGAUGUCAGGGAGUUGCACCGAGUUCCUGGGACAGAGAAGAGAGGAGGAAUUUUCCAAGUUCUUCAAGGCAGUCCGGUCCAUGCAGGAAAGAAAGCAGCCUUGCAGAUAAGUAUUCAAAUGCACCUGCCUGUGGCCAUCAGCCUGCCCCUGGUCAGUCUGUUUCUCCCUUUGUAGUCAAGUGGGGACCUCAGCACUGUUGCCUGUGGGAUGCAUUCUUCUCAGGGUGAGGCUCCAAGUAUGUAUCGCUUUAGCUUUGGCCAGGUGCCGACAGCGAGCUCUGAUAGUAUGUUCAGAGGGUCCCUAACUGCCUGGCUUCCAUCUGCAGGCACAGCUGACUCAAAACAAACCUGAGUUAGGAUCCUUGGGCAUCCCCUGGCCUUCUCCACACUGGCAGCAUGGGCUGGCCUCAAAAGAGCCCCAUCCUACCUUCCUUUGGGGUCCCCCAGUCGGCUGUUGGGAAACAGGGAGGUUUCUGGGGCUCUAGGUCUCCCUGUCCCUGGCCUGGGGUGGGGCGUGGGUGUGGUUCUCUUUUGCGGCCUGGGUGGCUCUUCUGUCUUCCAGGAUGGCCUUGUGUGGGGUCUUUGUGCAGAGGGAGCUCGGAGCCAGGCCUGGGCUAUCAGCAUGGUGGCUGGAUGCUGAAGUAGACACUGGGAUCCAGCAGUGAACACCAGACAUUCGGUCCCCUUCUCUUGGAUCUUCAUGUUGGAACACACUUCCCCAUGGCCAGGCAAGGAGGACCCCUGGCUUGCUGUGCUCUGGGGAGCUGGGUGAAUGGAUUCUGGCUGCAGGAACCCAGAGCAGCCCUCGGUGGUCCCAUCCCCAAGGAUCCCGCUCUUCUCAGCGCGUGGGAGAGGUCUUCUGAGAAGAGCUGCUCCUGGCCGAUGGUCAGCUGAACACCGGAUCCUGGGCUGGCGCAUGCUCCAGGCGUGUGGAGGGGCCACAGCUCUCUACCCUGCUCCUCCUGCCUGGGCCCAAGCAUCUGAGGCUGGUGGCCGCUCCCUGACCCCAUGCAGACUGUAUUCCUCCUCUGGUUCCCUCUGUGGCCACACCUCUGCCCAGGCAAGCACUUCCCUGGACACACCCUCCCCAAGGCCUGCUCUCAACAAAGAUGAAGUUGGGGAGGCACUACCAGUUGGGGAGGUGGGCUUGGCUCCUUGGGGCAGCCCAUUGAAGUCUUCCAUCUUUUGUCAUUUUGGUAAGGGCUUCCUGGGUGAGGCUUUUCAUGUCUCUCUCCCUGAUGGCUCCAGAGGGAAGCAGUGGCGUCCUGGGAGAAGCUGGGGCCUUCCCCAGUGGUGUCCAGAUGUGGGAGGCAACUGGAGGGGCAGAGGGGUAAGGUCUUGAAAAGGUGUAGAGCUGAGGAUGCCAGGGGUGGGGGGUGGAAUGGGGGUGUUCACUAGAAACUAGACUGACAGCCCUGCUCUCACUCCUGCCAUUCAAAGAGAAUUCCUUCACCCCAAGGCAGGAAGAGCCAUCUGAGCCCAAACUCAGGAUAGGUGUCAAGCAGGCAGCCCCCUGGUCCUUGUGUGUGGUUCUGAAUUUUGUCUUUGGGAACAGAGGCCAGUGAGAUGGGCCCUUCCCAUAUGCAGUGUCCCCAUACACCUGCCCUUCCGUGUCCGCCUCUGAUGACAGUCUCUGCAGAGGGGAUAAUCCCACUGCUUGCAAAGCUUGUAGCUUUCCCAAGAUCAUUUUAAAAGCUGGAAGUCCUUUUUCUAGGGAGGGAAGAUGGUGGGUAUUCAUCAGCUUGGGCUGCUGUCACAGAAUACUGAGGAUGCACCGCAGGGCUUCAGUGCCCAAGACUUAUUUCUCAUGGUUCUGGAGACCAGAAAGUCCAGGACCCAGGUUCCAGGGUUGGCUCCUGGUGAGGCACCUUCCUCUGCGUCCUUACGUGGCCUUUUCUCAAUGGCGCUUUGGUGUCUGUCUUUAUAAGGACACCAGUCCUAGUAUAGCAAGGACCCAUGCUCGUGACCUCAUUUGAUUUUAAGUUGGUGCCAUGUCCUCUCCAGAACCCUCACCUGUAGAGGAAGGAGGAGCAAGUGAAUGGAAAAUAGAUCAGGGAAUGGCAGGCUUGGGGCCAGGGUGAGUCGGGUGCCUCCUGGGCAUAGGGACUGGCUGAACCCUGUGUGGAGAGCCUAGUCCUGAAGGAGCCCCUAGUUUGAAAUCAGAGCAGGUCUCAGGUGCGCCCUCUACUGUACAGCUGUGGGAACACCCCUCAACUCCCAUUGAAAUGGGUGCUGGUGACCUGGUGAGCAGGUGUGGGGCGCAUCUCCAGAGAUAAUGUGCCCAGUGCAGUAGUGACUGCUUAGCUGGUGCUCAGUAAUCACCCUGCCCAUCGGGGUGUUUAGAUUUAGGGCUGGUCUUUAGGCACUUUCUGAGUCAGAGGUGCUUCUGACUCCCCUCUCCCCUGGCUGCUGUCCUGACAGCCCUUUCUAAGGAGCUUGGGGAAGAAGUCAGUUCUGGCAUUAGAACUAGCACUAACUUGGGGCUCAGUCUUGUGCCACACUUGAGGGUAUUAGGUGGGAGAGGCUCUCUAGUGAAGCUGAACCAACAAGGGUCUCAGAGCGUGAGAAAGCUGUGGCUGUGCCCAGAGCUUCUGGGGAGAAACUGGAGCAGGAUUCUCCAAGUAAAGUCAGGGAGUGCAAGACUUAUCAGAGCCUCUGAAAUGCUCAUGGGGACUUCCGGUACUCAGGGACAGGACAGAGGGUGAUGUGUUUCUUGGCUUUGUUUUUCUAAUUUUACAGAAUCUCUCACAGAGCAUCAUUUAGAGCUGCAGGAGAUGCGAGGCUGGGUUUUCUGUAAGGAACAUUCAUGGUGAUAGGAGGCGGUGUAACGAGGGUGCCCCCAGGUGCUGUGUGGUGUUGGCUGGAAAGGACUCAGAUGAGGGAUGUGCGGUGGAGAGCUCGAACCUGGUUUCCAGGCCAGGCCAAUUCAAUGCAGUUUUGUGGGAAGGAGGAGGGGGCAGGUUAGCUGUGAUGGGUGUCAUGUCCACCAGGUAGUAGGGGCUCUGGGGAUCACAUCUGUGUGUGUGUGUGUGUGUGUGUGUGUGUGUGUGUGUGUGUGCAUGCCUGAGUGAAAGGACCCAGCCCUCAGGGAUGGGUCUGACUAGAACCAAGUGUGGGGUUUCUACUCAGGACAGGUAGCAUCUGUUUCCAGGGGAACUGAAGUGUUUGCAGGGGUGGGGUGCUCUAAGACCCACAGCCAAGAAACGGAAGUAAAAUGCAGGGUCCAAAUGGCCAGGCUCAAUUCUGGUUGGCCUGAGGGCCGCAGAGGUGGACCCCCCUUGCCCUGGUCAGGCCCCACACUUGGGGUGGGGCUGGGGUGGGUGAGCAGGAGGUGUCUGGAACCAUAGCUGGAGGGGCCGGGCAGUGUUGCAUGGUGUGAUUAACCUACUAACCCAGGGCUCGGCCAGGACGCUGUGGCGCGUGCCGUGCCGAGGUGCCUGGCCUUUUGCCAACCGACUAACCCACUAACCAGGCCCGAGCAUGCCCUACUAACCCUGCGCAGCCAGACCCUACUAACUGCAGCUCAUGGGCCUUGGAAGGGGCUGGGCCAUGGGGCAGCCGAGGCUCCGAGGGCCUGGCCUGGGCUGGGGUCUUUGUGCAGAUGCUCACUGCAGACAGGGCCUGCAUGUGACUUAGCAAUUCUGCCAGCUUCAGUGGAGGGACUCUGAGCAAGUCACCUCAUUCUUCUGCACCCCAGUUUCCUACAUAGGGAUGAGGAGUACUGACUCUUACCUCACCGAUGGCCUUAAAUAAGCGAAGGGAUCGGGGUGGGGGUGGGGGCCCCAAAACUCAGCUGGCAACAGCUGCUGCCCAGCCCUGGGCUACCCGGGUGCUCUGCACACAGACCUUCUGCCUGGAGCCAGACACUUGCUUUGAACCCCUAACUGUCUCCCCCACAUUCUUCCUUCUUGUCAGCUUUCUUUUCUAUAGGCAGCUCUUUGUUCGAUUACUAACUUGUCUAACCUGGGGGCGCCUCCCCUGCGCCCCACCCUCCCUUAACACACUAACGGACCUGCGUGUGUUCUUCCUUUUCUCCUAGUGACUCCUGUGUGUGUCUGCCGAGGCGCCCCUGUCGCUGGUGCUGUGCUGAUUUACUAACCCGGCCCUACUAACCUGGUUUCUCUUCUUACUAACCCCAGCCCUGCCGAGCUCUGGGUCUCCCUGGGGGCUGGUCCCCCUCCUUUUGGCAAACAGAUGUCCCCAGGCUGGUCCUGCAGACCAAUGUCCCAGAUUGGCUGCUUGUGAGAUCAGAGACCACUGGGUCAGGUCUAAGGCAGGGGCGGCCUUAUGAACGGCAUCCAGAGGAGGAGGAGGUGGCCCUGCAGAUGCGGGAGGCUGGACUCUGAGCAUGACCUCGCUCCUCUGUGCACAAGGCUGAUUGCCACUGGGAGUGGGCAGGGCCGGGGCAUCCUCCGGGGUGUGAGUGCCAAGGCCUGUGGGUCACAGAGUGCAGUUCUGGGGUUUCCCCAGCCAGAGAAAUGGAAAAAAGGGGCCUGGGCUUCCUUCCCUGGAAAGGGUUAGUGAGAGCAGCCAUCCUGGAAAGGAAGCUAAAGGAGUGUCCCCAAAGGGAACUUGGUCGAAGGACCUGGCCUUACACCAGAAGUCAGUCACGAAAUCAAAUAGGAAGUUAAUAAAGGGUCUUUCCUACACUGAAACGUCUUUGAGGGAGCUGUGUACACAGGAAAUCAGUGACAGAGGCAUUCUCUACACUUGAAACUGAGGAAAGGGGCCUGUUGACUGACAGUCAGUGAAAGAGGCUUUUCCUUAUCACUAGGUCCUGAGAAGGCAUGGCAGGUAAUCAGGGAGAGGCCCAGGAAGCUGGCUAGAGGGGCUCUUACGUCAAAAGGUGGGAGAAGCCAGAAACUCACACCGGAAGUAGAUAUGGGGCUAUUUUUGGCCCUAAGUCAUUUAGAAAGACUUCACACCCAGAAGCUAGCGGGUGUCUGUAGCUGUGUUGCAAAAGCAGUGUGGAAAGCACCUGUACAAGAGCUGGGGGCUUAGGAAGAGGAGGAAGUGGGGAGCAGAACAUGCCUGCCAGGGGCCCACAGGCUGGCCAGGAAGUCCCCCUCACUCCCUGUUUCCUCCAUGCCCUUGCCCCGGCCCAGCCAGCCUCCCCCAGAGCCCGCCAGCCGCUGAGCCGGGGCCACACCUGGGGGUGACUUCAUGCCUCACCUCCAGUAGGCUCCUGGCCUCUCUAGGCUGAUCUCUGGCUCCCGCGCACUAACUCUUGCUCUCGCCCAGCUACUCCCCGCCUCGCCCUGGCUGCCCAGGGCUGCCCACUAACAGCCAAUCUCGCCCACUGGGGGCUCUGGACUCCCUGCCUGGCUCGGGCCGGCUCUUAAUUAACUUCCCUUCCCCCUGACUAACUCCUGCCUUCCGGUCUGUUCCUUUCAGCGGAAACUAAUGGCUUGUGGACUUCUUUCUGACUAACAGCAGGUGUAACAGUCCUGGUUACCACGACUAUUAACAGCUUGGUGGGCAGCAUGGCUGGGAGGAUUUGGAACUGGACUAACAAGCAGUAGCAUUAAGUAGUGAUGUCGGACUCGGUGACUGCGCUGUCUGAGCAGUCAGAUGUCAGUGGAGACCCUAGGUCUUUAAAGGAGGUGCCAGGGCGUGGCCCAGUCCUGAUGGGGGGCUGGUACCCGCCCAGGUGGGGUCUGACCUAGGGUGUGUCUUACAAACAUUUGACCCGUGGAUGUAUCCUUUGCCUUCUUGGCGUUUGUGACAGCACUUUUACACAACAAUCUCAUUGUCCACAUGUACUUUAUAAACUUUAACAUGCCCGCCUGGUGUGUGCACAGAGUAUGACAUGUGUGGAAUUACCAGCAAUCAGGCGGGGGCCCAAAGGCCCUGCUUGGCUUUGUCAGAGUUUUGGUGGCCCUGGAACACAUAGUAAUAUUCAGGAUUAUAAAUCCAUCAGCCCUUUACAUCUUAGUGUGAUUUAACUGGGCUUCUUCUAACUCUUUUAAUGUAAGUCUUUUACUGCAGUCUGCCUGCAUUGGGGAGCAGUGAGUUUGGAUCUGUUUACUGCUUGAGGAAGUUUUGCUGGUGGCAGAGAGGAGGAGCCAUGCGGGGAUUGCAGGUGGUGGGGUGGGGUUCCUGCGGGGGAGAGAGGUGCACAGGUUGAGGUGGGAAUGGGAAGAGGGGCUCCUUUUGCCGGCUCAGCUUGGUAGUCAGUCUAUGGGGAGCACAGAUCAGUGUGUGGAGGACUGGUUUGCUGAGGGGCAGUUUCAGAGCCUGGCUAGGAAGCCUAGCGGACAGCAGUUUGGGUCAGGGUGUGCCGAGAGGUCCCUCUCCGCUAUGACCCCGGGCCCAGAGCUAACUGUGAGGAGCUGGCAGUGGGAUGUGGAGGGUGAUCCAGGGGCCUGAACUACAGAGGAAAGAGCAGAGGAGCAACCCGGAAAGAGCCGCGAGAAAGUGCAGAGUGGAAGGCCCUGAACUUGGGGAGCAACUGCCGCCCUCUAGUGGCCGCCCGGCCGUAUGUCACACAAACACUCAUUUGAUGGUGCACUCCGGAGCACUUCUGUAUCAAGUAGAAAGAUUUGUGGCUGCUGGGGACCCUGUGUGCCUACCACUGCUCAUGGCCUUGUACAAAUCAGUAGGCACCGUGCCAGGCAUGGGGGCCUAGUGGGGAUCCCAUACUGGCUGGUGGCCAGGGGCUUUAAAUGAGUGGGUAGGGCCAGUGACUCCAGGAUGUGGUGGGCAGGGUGGGCUUGCUGAAGAGACCGUAGGUAAGCUCAACUCCGGCUGGUGUCAGGUGGAUGGGGUGAGGUCCAGGCAGUGGGAAUGGCGGGUACAAAGCUCUGGGGGUGCACAGAGGAUUCACAGAGGUUCUGGGGAAGGUGGCAGGAAAGAGAUGGUACACUGGGCUCUCUGGAGUUGUGUGGCACCUUGGGGAGCUGUGUGGGUGUGACCUGAGAAGGGCAGAGUGGGGCUGAGCCUUCAAGCUGGUUUGGUGGUUUCAGCCCGGCUGGGACUCUGGAGCUUGUAAUGAGUUGUGGGCAUAUUUCAUACACCGUCUAUAUAGAAAGUCUGGAAACCAGCAGGACCCUGCAGGCAUCUGGAGAUGAACAGGUUCCACGUCACCCGGCCCAGGUAGAGGUAACUCUGCACCGAUUGGAAAGCUCAGAAGGCUAAGGUGACCAUGAGGACUUUGAAGAAGGGUUGUUUCGAAGAUGUGACAAGCCCUGGUGCAAAUAGGCCCUGGAGAAGGUCCAGGGAGUGAGGCCUCAGGCUGGCAGAGAGAAGGGGCAGUUGGCUUGUGUGGCUGCAGGAGGAGAUUCAAGUAUCCAAGAGGUUUACUGACUGCAGAGAAGAGAAAAAUGGGUUAACAGAACUUUCUGUCCCCAAAGGCAGGAGGCCUGGGCCUAGAACCAUGUUGAGAGUGACGAGGAUUGUGAGAGUCUGUGAGUGUGUGUAUGUGUGUGAGUGUGAGUGUGUGUGUGUGUGUGUGUGUGUGUGUGUGUGUGUGUGUGUGGAGUCCUUGACUGAAUGCUGGAGGAAGCUGAGCCCUGAGCCCUGGUAGGCGGGUUUGUCUUGAGCUCUCCCAUGCUGGUGCCUACUUGAGGUUCGUUCCCUCUGUCCUCGAGUACAGUGACAUCAGGCUUGCUGAACAGUGGCCUGUGCCCUGACAAGGUGUCCCAGGCUUUGCUUACACCUUGUAGAGGCAGGGGCCGCUGUGCUGUGGUGCUGGUGUCCUGGGAUGUGCUGCACAGAGAGGUGGGGCGAAUGCUGAGCAGGACCCCGGCUCCCUUCCCAACUGUGGCCCCCCUCAGACCUCCUCAAGAGUCAAGAAAAGCUGUCUGUGUCAUUGGCUUCCAGGGAUGGCGGAUGUGCACAGAAAUUCUGUUGAUUAAAAAGCUGAUUUUGGCCCAAAUCUAGCAAUGAAGUGUCCUUUGGCUUUUUGUUUUUAGCCCCUACUGUAGCUGCUUCUGUGUAAAGUACCAUUUUGAUAUUAAAAAUCAGUUAACACCCAAA